rnacentral:rRNA from 1 species
GAUCCUGGCUCAGGAUGAACGCUAGCGGCAGGCUUAACACAUGCAAGUCGAGGGGCAGCAUAAUGGAUAGCAAUUAUCUAUGGUGGCGACCGGCGCACGGGUGCGGUAACGCGUAUGCAACCUACCUUUAACAGGGGGGAUAACACUGAGAAAUUGGUACUAAUACCCCAUAAUAUCAUAGAAGGCAUCUUUUAUGGUUGAAAAUUCCGAUGGUUAGAGAUGGGCAUGCGUUGUAUUAG